GUUCCCUUCCACGCCUUCAGGUGUUUGCUCGGCGCUCGGUAGCUCCUGUCCGAUGAAGGAGCUGUGUCUGCAAGACACCGCCUAACGCCGCAGCGGGAUGCUGGUGCACCGCCAGGGGAAACUGUGAUAAAGUAUCAGCUGGGCAUCAGUCACAGAUUUCACUGUAACAGAACCCAAGGAAAGAAUGCUACAAGAAGUUGAGUCAUUCAAACAGGCUGCAUGGAACCACAUUUUUGUGCGGACUGAACCCCUUCAUGUGGCUCUGCACUUAAGCCACUUCUCCCCUUUCCCUGUCUGUGCCGGUGGAACAAUAGCAGCGAAGUGAGAGCUGCAGCACAGGUCAGUCACACUGCUGUCACCAACCCCGUCACACGCUGUCCUGAGAGCUGCGACUGAUGUCACCCACACUGCUGAGGUGAGGGUUCCUACCUUGUGAAGAAGAGCAGCAUUCCACCCUGCCAACUUCAAAAAAACAGCUGGUAAAUCACAAUGGUUCCCUAAACCAGCUGGGAAAUUUUAUGGAAUUAUGUAAAUCCUUAAUUGUAACAAUUGCUUUGGUGACAGCCUCAGUCAGCAUUCACAAACACGGGCAGAGGCUUCAUUGAGCAAUGGCUCAGUGCUGUCAGCAAACCCUGCUGCCUCUGGGCUGAUGGCAGUGCUGUGAGGGCGGUGCUGUUUGAUUUCUGUGUCACCUGCAUGUCCACACAAGCGUCCUUACCGAGGGCUGGGGAUCCUCAGCAUCAACACAGGCUGUUGCUAAGGUGUGUCCCUUCACAGGGUGCCAGUCUUCUGCAUUACAGAAUUAAUUUCCUCAGGCAAGGUGCAGCAGCUGAAGUACACAGUGCAGCAGCACUGCACGCCUUCCCAGGCAAUCACUCAGGGUUUUAGAGAACAAAAUUUCCAUGGAUGUUCACAAUUAUUUCCGCACCUGGGUUUGCUCACCAUAUGUUUGAGUGUGGUUUAGAAGCUUUGAAAUUCCAAAUGGCUUUGCCAGAGGAAGCAAACUGAGGAGCACUGUAAGAGAAGGUCUCAGCAAACAGCAGUGGCACAUCUGCUUUGAGCUCUGGUGAGAGCAUUGUGCAGCUCCUAGCCCUUGUUUGACUUGCAGUGUGCAUUUCCAUCUGGAAAACAGAAAUGUCAACAUCCUGCUUAGCCUUCUUCAGCCCAAGCAAGCCUUGCCAUCUGUUAGGCUUAUGUUUUGUGGUCUUCUGAUAUAUUUAAAUGCUUCUGAGGGCACAAACCACUGCCAAAUGCUGGUGAGAUACUCAAAAUCAGAACUACUGAUCAACUUUGCCUUAACUAUUUUGCAGCUCAAAGGAGUGAUAAUAAACUUGCCUGAGCAUACUCUGACCAUGAUCCAAGGACUUGCCUGAGCAUACUCUGACCAUGAUCCAUAUUACAUCAACUAGUGAUUCUUUCAUUUUAUCCAUCCUGCCAUAUGAUAUAGGCUUUAUCUUUUAUAUAUGGCCCCACAAACAUAUCAGAACAUAUUAGGAGUUGUUAUUGAUGUCAUUAAAAUCUCCCAGAUGGCCAGUCUGCUCCUGCACAGCCUGGGCAGGCUCACACAAGGUCACUGUGGCACAGUCAAUGCAUCUUGCACCACAGAAGCUCAUAGAUGAGGCUGAUGCCAUGAGUGCAGUCUCUCAGCUGCAGCUUGAGCUGCUUUCCCCCUCACGCAGCCUCUCAGCAUCCCAAAAAUGCAGACACACAAGUCUGGAGAGAAGGAUGUUCCCAUACACACAUGUGUUUCCAUUCACCUCAGCUCUAACAUAUUUAAAUUCAAGGGACUGCCCAUGGGGUCACUGGGUCUCUCUGCCUUUCCUGUCCAAACUAUUCCAGUUUAUGGAUCCUGUUUGUUAGCACACGGGUUUGACUUCAAGCAGUGAGUAUUUGUUAUUCAAUUUUGUUGUUAUUCAGUCCUCAGUCUUUACAGUGUGAAAUAACUGCAGGGAACCAGGAGCACCAGACUUAUGUGUUCAUAAACAUUACAGAAAGUUCAAGGCUGAGGAUCCUGAGACAAAAGAGGCCCAUUAAGGUAAGUGCCAAGACUUGGACUUUUCAUCUUCCUUUAACUCUUAUUGCUUCAUACAUUUCCCUGUUCUGAGGAUGUCUGGGGAUUUUGACUUUGGCUGGCAGCCUGAUCUCUGCAUCACUCUGGGGAACAUGUUAUACCCUGGGUAACACUCAGCAUCCUUGCCAACCUGUCCUUGGUGUUUUUAACUGUGAGUUCAUCAUUUUAGAUCUUGUUCACUUUAAUACUGGCAUUUUAGGGUGAGUUGUAAGUUGGUGUAAAAGGCUGAGAUCAGGGAAAACUGUUGAAUUUUUCAAAUGGCUCUUUGCAGGCUGCCUGUCUGAUCAAGGAGACAAAGAGCUGUCUGUACUGCUGUGGAAGAAAACCAAAGUAAGAUCUCUUAUGUAAUUUAUUACAGAUUUAAGAAAUUGAUUCCAACUUCCACCAAAGAAGCCUUUGGAACUGCAUGAAGACCAAUAGGAUUGUGGCCUUAGUCCUUUCUAACACGUCUUAAUUUAAAUAUAUGAUUGAUAUAGCAUGAGUAAGAUUUUUUUAAAAAUCCAAAACAUCUCUCCAUUUUAAUACUUUUCUAGCACAGAUAGACCUAUUUAAAAAAAAGUUCCAGUAGCUUCUGCAUAAAUGAUAAAAGCAUUAUAGCCUCAGCAGUGCUUUGCAGGUACACAUAUUAACAUUUGAAUCUUAAAAUAUAAUUUGGGGCAUGUGCUCCCCCUUCAGAGGCUUGUCUGCAGAAGAGAAUUCCUGUGUUCACAUGCAUGAGGACGGCAUUUUUUGAGUGUGAGGAAAAAAAAAUCCUGAUGGUAAAUGUUAAUUCUUUUUUUCUGAAUAAGCACAUGGCAGUUUUAAUGUUACUAUAGGAAAUGUAUUUUUACAUAAUAAAAACACGAGAGAAUCAACACUUUUUGUUAUUCAUAUUAAUUAUGUUUUCUAUGGAGAGAAAUAUUUAACAUUGUCUCUGACAAGUGAAGACCAGGACAUAGGUCAGAUACCAGUGAAAACUUAUGGAAACAGUUCCUUCCGUUGCCUGCUGGGGUUCCAGGCAGAUCUGUUUUUUUCUGUCCAAGUCAUCAAUUGAUUUAUAGUUGCAUUUGCUCGUAGCUGUGUUUCUACAGUAAUAAUGGAGGCACUGAAUAUUUUAAACUAAACACUAUUCACAAACAGUCAGAGAGAGAUAAACUUUAAUAAAACUAUUAGGGAGAACUGUCUGCCUACUGAUAAAGGAUAAAUCAGGACAUCCAGAUGUUUCCAUAGUGCAAACUUUAUGAUGAAAAGCCCAUACUGUUUCCAUUAGUUGCUGGUUGCAAAUUUCAGACCCUGAAGGGCUCUGGUCUGUGCCUCUGCAAGGCUGCUCCCAAGAGCAGCUGGCACAAUCCCAGCUGCAGUCACGGAAACAUUUGGGUCUGCAGGGACAUCAGGAGCACAUCUGACUGAAGCAGGUCCACUUGGAUUGGGUUGUUCAAGGACUUGUAGGAUGGUAAAAUUAUUUCAGUCCAGUUAAAAAUUAAAUUCACUGGGUGUCCAGUGAAUCAUCACGUGCAAGGGGAGAGCUGAGUCUCAGGAGGAACAUUUGCUCAUUAGAGCGGCUGGGAAUCAGCCAGUGCUAGAAAAAUCACUUGGCUACCUCAUGAAACCUCAAUGAAUAGAAAGGCUUACACAGAACUGAAAAGCUAACUUUCCUUAAAUCCUGUGCUAAUAAAUGGUUAUUAGGAUGUGAAAUACAGUGCUCCAUUCAGACAAGAAGGCUUCUUCAAAUGAAGGGCACAAUCUGCAUUUUUCUACACCAUUCAUCAGAUGAACUGCCAGAAGUUUGUUCUUCCAGUUUUGGAAGGUAGUAGCUCGAAUUAGUGAUAAUCCUGAAAUUAAAGGAAUAGACUUUAACUUUGAAGGUUUUAUUUUAUUUGUGUCCAGUAAAACCUUUGAAAAGAAGUUGCUCAGGAUAAGCAAGCUAUGAGCAGGGCUGAGGCAGGGCUCUGCAGCCCUUCAAGGUGGCUUACAGAAACCAGAGGUCUACAGCCACCAUAACAGGCACACAAAAAAUGCACAGAAGUACAUGAAAGAUUUGGUCAAAGAAACAAACCAAAAUUGGCCCAUUUGCACAAAACUCAGAAGAGAGACAGAUGAGCAGAGCCAGACAACAAUGACAGAGGGGAGCACACGUGAUCACUGCAGCUCUGCUUCUCGGAUGUAGUGGUGGAUCUUGAAGCCUGUGGCAUUCCUGUCACCUGGCUCCCCGUGCCCACAGUGACCUCAGUGUAAAAGUGUCAUGGCUUGAGGCAGGCAGGGCUGUGGAGCUUCCGGGCACCAGCUCCAGCAUGUGCUCACUCAUGACCCACUGUCACUGAAAGGGCAAUGCAUGGACAGGGGCUGCUGGGUCAGGCACAGUGAGGUUCACCACAAGUGGCUGAGUGGGGUCAUCCUUCAGCCCUGAGGAUACUGAAAUAGGUAAACUCUUGUAUUUAAGUUGUUUUAUGUGCUAAUAUAGGAAUCAUAUUUGACUUGCAUCAACAAGAGACUGAUAGAGUGGCCAGGAAAGGAUCAAGCACCUGAAUCCCUGGCUCAUGUGGAGAUGAAAUUGUGUUUGGCCAGAAUAGCAAAAGACCUGCCUGGUUCCUGUGAAGAAAAAUGUGGUUUUGAGCCCUUCUUUAAGUUAUAUUUUUACAGCAGGUGCACAUCUAACUAUGCUUUUGUGAGGCAUAACUUAGUGCUUGUUUCCUUCUAUCCUUGUAACUUUGCUGUAAUUACAGCAUCUCUUGGUUGAUUACAGAUCUUAUUUAUGAGUCCAUCAUUUUCCCAUUGUCAAGUAGAGUAGCUUUCAGGAUGUGUGCCAUAAAAAUGCUGUUGAAGUAAUAUUAAUUUAAAAGGCAAAUUCCUCCUUUUUUUUUUUUCUUUUGUGUGUGUUUGUGUGUGUGUGUGUGUGUGUGUGUGUAUGCAUGUGUGCUUUCUUGGCUUUUCCUGCAGGUUUGGUGACUGUCCGUUUCUCUCCCUAGAGAACCUCAUCACAGCUAUCAGCAUCUUUAAGUUUUCCUCAGGAUAAUCUUGCCUACUAAAAUUUUGAGAAAAAUUUUAGGAAAAGUUUUAGGAAAAAUAAAUUAAUUUGCAUGGUGAGCCUUGACUUCAGCCAGCCCAACACAUUUGCAUCUCAUCCACCCACUGGCACAUCACACCUGUCAGUGCCACAUCUCCACAUUUCACAGAUUCAUGUGUCUAGAUUAUUUGUCCCUGCAGUGCAUCCACUUUACUUGGAAGUCUGGAUCACAACCAUGGCUGUAGGAAUCUGGCAGGAGGAGAGCAAGUCCCAGACAGGACUGUGUCCAACAUCAACACCAGUGACUCAAACCCAGUGCUCAACUGCUUCAGCUUCAUCAAAGCCUCCAUCUUCAAGACUUACCUGCAUUCCUGGAUAGUAGGAUUGGAACUGUUUCCUGAAUCCAACUCUCUUCUGGUGUCUGAAGCUGAGUAGACGAGUAGUGAUAUGGAAGGUGACUGUGGGACAUCAGACUCAUCACCUCUCAAAGUGAUUGCAGUGCAGACACAGGUUUCUUGAGAGUCACUGUUCAGCAAGGCAAGAAUAUCCUACAAGCUGAAGCUCCAGCACACAAUGCUUAAAAAGAAGAACCCUACAAAAAUACAAAACAGCCCAGAGGCUAAACACACAUGGCCAUAGUCUGCAAGUUCUCUUGACAGCUACUGAAGGUCAGGUGCAUCCUGAGAGUACUCUGAUUCUUCAGAGAGAAGAAACAGAACACUUACAGAAACAGUGGUAAUAUGCAGAAACAAAGAAAAUACUGAGUUCAGGAG